CUCCAUUGAGGACCAUAGAAACAUUCAUAGACAUGGUGCAUAGAAGUCCCCAGAUGGUCUUGGUGACAAUGGAAUUCCAUUUUUAUGAAAAGUAAACAUCAGUCCAAAGACCGGAAGAAUAAUUCACAUUAAGUUAGGAACAUAAGCGCUCCAGAAUGUGUUUCUUUGACAUACAGUGUGUCUUGAGACUAUCACAGGACUGAGUGGCGGGUGUAGCUGGUGGUACACAGGACAGCCGUUGUGAAACCAGUGCUGAUGAGUAACUCUGUGUCCUGAGUCCAGGACAUUCCAUUUCAACUUCUGCUUAACUGACAGGUACUAAAAGAAUCUCAGAUCUCCCUCUCUGACAGCCAUUGCUGUUUUUCUUUCUCCUUUCUUUCUUUCUUUCUUUCUUUCUUUCUUUCUUUCUUUCUUUCUUUCUUUCUUUCUUUCUUUCUUCCUUCCUUCCUUCCUUCCUUCCUUCCUUUCUUUCUUUCUUUCUUUCUUUCUUUCUUUCUUUCUUUCUUUCUUUCUUUUUUCUGAGCCACAAGUCCGAUUCACGUGAAGCAAUUUACCACCUUGCCUUAACGAAGAAGGACACAGAGAGUAAUGCUGAUAUGACCACAGGAAACGCCUUGUUUGUCCUUUGUGCAGAGGACAGGACAAUAGCAGGGAGCUGAGAGAUCGGCAAAACAUCUCUACACCUCGAAGGGUCUAGAAUUGCAUGGAAGUUCAGUCUCUCCCUCGUUGACAUUUAAAAACUGAAUGAAAAAUGAAUGAGAACAUGACUGUUCCUAGACAUGAACUAAGAAGCUUUACUGUAUAUGAACUGGGCCACGCGAGACAGAGGGAAAGAGAUAGAGCAAGAGAAGAAAGAGGGUGGGUAAGAGGCAGGAGUGUGCCAGGGGACCAUCCAAGAGGCCAGAAAGCUGUGUAUCCAAAAUGGCUGAGGUUAUACAGGAAAGAGAAGCUGGGGGGCGGGGAAGGGGAAACCCCGCCCCUGGGAGGCAGAGGUUUAGAGAAGAGGGCGGGAUGAGAGCUGCUGGGAGGAGCCACAGGUUCUGAGUGAGAGCUAACCAGCUUCUGCUUUGAUGUCUCAAUAGGCGCCUCCGCCAUUUGUCCCUGGUUUCUUUGAGAUCCAAUAAAAAUUAAUCCAAUAACAUUAACCCCCAGGAAUGUGUGGGUAUUCCCCACAAACUUAUAGAGUAUCCCUCGGGAGGAGGGGGGAUUAGAAAUGUGUGAUGAACUCUAUUUUAUUUCACUCCUAUUUGGAAGAAACCAAAACCAAAACAAAACAAAAUGAAAAAACUAAACUCCUACAGAUAAGGAAGGAUCAGUAAAUUGAGUCCCUAUCUUUGCCUUGGAGUUUCCUAAUCUAGAAAACCAGCCAACAUCACAGUAGCCAAAAGUUACAACUGGAGAUCAGUAACUGAGGCUGGGUCUUUAGUACUGGAGAUGGCGACAAUAAUGUGUUUCAAGAACCCUCUCUCUUUAGAGUUGCCAAAAUGAUGCAGCCACUAAAAAUGUCUUUAGAAUGGAGAUUUCUAUAAUGUAAAUCAGACACUACUGAGAGGGAAAAAGUUAAAGAUCAUAAAGUAGAAGCAAAUUCUAAUGAGAACAAACAUACAAAAUAAGUAGAAGCAGAGCCUGGUUGCGCAUGCCUUUAGUCGAAAAAUUUGGGAGUCAGAGGCAAGCAGAUGUCCAAGUUUGAAGCCAGCAGAGUCUGCACAGUGAGUUCCAAGACAGUCUGGACUACACAGAAACACUGUCUUGAAGGACAAACAAUAAAACAAACAAAGCAAGCGCAGAGAGACUAAGGUUGCGUUUACUUUUCGACAGAAUCAAAUAGCCCCCUUCUUCUAGACUGAAUCACAAGAGCAGUUAUAAAACUCUAACACAGCAAGGACUGAGCAACUUCUGCACAGCAUUUCAUUCAACGCCCAAAACGUGUUUGGAAGAUUUUUUUCUUUCACUGACAGUUCACUGUAGUAGCAGUUAUACCUGUGGGUAGAAAUAAGGAUGUGAGGUUGCAUCCGAGAAGUAAGCUUCAUCCUCAUGGAAAAUCUUUUCAGUUAUGAACUGGAGAUGACUGACAGUUGUCAACAGUGUUAACAGAACCUUGCCACAGGGAUACUUCUGUUUCAUCCAUCGACCUCACAAUAUCAUUUAUAUACAUCACUACUUCAGAAUCGUAGAUGUUGGUCCCCACAUCAACUCUUACUUAGUGCAUCAGUAGAAAGUUUGUGUAAGUCAGACCUACUACUGAGGUCCGGCAAUCACAGGCAUUUAGGGGAACAGUAAGUUCAAGGACAGCUUGGGCUAUAAAAGUAAAUUCAAAGCUGACUUUGUCACUCUACUGGGACUUUUCUUAAAAAAAAAAGAAAAAGAAAGGAGGCUGGGGAUAUAGUUUAAAUAUGUUAGACUGUAGGUUCUAUGUAUGAAUAUAGGUUCUAUGCCCAAUACCUCAAAAGAAUUAGUUCACUAAAAAAAUACAGCUUGUAUAUUACUAUUAUCAACUUGCGUUUUAAAACAUUCGGAUAACUGUAUUUCAAAACAAUGAAUUUUGUAAUCCUAUAUAUUUUGUUUUGUGUAGUUUCAGAUAUUCGUCUGAACAGAGGUCCACAGGUCCAAAGCCCAUUGAUGCAGGAAAUAUGAGUAAGAAUUUCCUGCUCUUGAGUCCAUAGGGCAUUUUUGAAAGAUGCUGGGGACUAAACACAGGGCCUUGUGCUUGCUAGGCAAGCGCUCUACCACUGAGCUAAAUCCCCAACCCAUGACUUUUUCUUGAAUUAAAAUUUUCUGGUCCUUUUUAUAACAUGUGUUCAUAUGUAAUGUGUGUGUAUAUAAUAUAUAUCAUAUCAAUUAAGAUUAAUUAUUUGUAUAUAUUCACCAGUUUUUUAAAAUAUUUAUAUGAUUAUUUUAAAGUGUGUGUGUGUGUGUGUGUGUGUGUGUGUGUGUAUGUUUGUAUGAGAGAGAGACCUGCAUACCAGUCAGCAUCUGUGGAGUCCAGGGAAAUUCAGUCCCCUGCCACUGGAUUUAUAGGUGAUUGUGAGUCACCCUUACACGGGUGCUUGGAACUAAGCUUGAGGCUCCUGCAAGAGUAGGACGUAUUCUUAAUCACUGAGCCAUCUCUACACACACACACACACACACACACACACACACACACACACACACACAUACACACACACACGUACACAUGUACACACAGUACACACACAUGUACACACACAGUACACACACACGCACACACACGCACACACACGUACACACAUGCACACACAUGUACACACAUGCACACACAUGUACACACAUGCACACACAUGUGCACACACACAUACCUUUUGAUAUUCGCUAUGUGUAAGUUACUGAGAUAGAAUCAAGGAAUUCAAAGACGGAAGAGACGUUGUCCUCAGAGACUUAUGGAGUUGGGGACUGGGGAUAGAGGGAGUUAAGAGCUCUUGAGCAAGAGUGACUUUAAAGUACGGUCAGUUCCAGUGUAAAGUUUUGGGGUAUUUAGAUGUUCUAACAUUUGCCUUUUGGUCAGUUCUAGUGUAAAGUUUUGGGGUAUUUAGAUGUUCUAACAUUUGCCUUCUGUUAACUAUCAAGAGAGACGUCUAGAGUCAGGGACCAUUUCUUCAGAGUUUGCUUCUGGGUGCACACUGGCUAGAGUUAUGUACUAGGAAUGCAGGAAAUGGGACUGGUGCCGUGGAUCCUGUCCAGAACUUCAUGCCUGCUUUUGCAAGUUGAAUUUAUUUUCUCAGAGUCUGUUAUAACUGGUAUUUGGAUUACGAGGCUGCUCCUAAAAAUUGUACUAACAUAAAAUCAUGCACAAUACCAACACCGCAUCCUAAAUACCAGGCACGAUGGCGCUUCUCUGUGUGGAUGCUCUAAGAAUUCUAACCCAGAUACCAACAGCACAGUCUCCUGAUGGGGUUCUCUUCCUAAGAAAUCUAAGAUGAGAGCGGGAGAGGCUAGAUUCCAGACAUCCAGCAACCUAACAGUUCCCUCUCUGACCUAGACAAGCCUCCAUUGAUUUUUCAGAGUGCCUUUUAGACUACCUGUGCAAAGGACACCUGACCCAUCUGGUCUUUCCUACUGUGAGAACCUUCUCAGUGUGAAUAGCUUCUAAAGAAGUCAACUUUGCAGUCAAACGGCAUAGUAAGAAUGAAACAGGAAAAAACCAAAAAGCUGACCACUGGAAAAGAAUACAGAGUUGAGAAAUGAAACCACAGACAAGCUAAGAGAAAAUUUAGUUCUCUGAAAUUAAGUUUCUUUUAUCUUUAAGGUAAGCAUCCUUUUAAAAAAGGGGGUUGGGGGAGGUACCCAAAGCAAAAUCAGUAAUAGGAAAAAAAUAUCAUCUUAAUAAAUCGUAUUCCUAAGUCUGUGAGUAUGGCACUGUGAAUAGUUCAGCCAACUGAAAAUACAUUUUAAACCUAGCCAAGACAAAGGAGCAGCAUUCAGAAUACAUAAAACAACAAGGAAAUGGCAAUCACCUCUGUAGAUGAAUGGAAAGUGGACACAAAGAGGCAGAUCAUGAAGGAAGAUACAGAACGAGUGUCAAGUGCAUGGGAGACGCAGUCUCAAACGAGGCAUGCGAAUAAGUCGCUCGGAGAAGAGAGCUCCGUAGCCUAUUGGUGCUCUGGGAAACAAAUAGGCAGCAUGGUUAAACCAAAAAUGAACAUGCUAUUACCCAGAAAUUACUUUUCUAGAGGAUUUCUUCCAUAAGGGACUCAAGGAGAUUUGCGUAAGACUGCGUUUUUAGAUUCAUGUUAUGAUGGUGGAAAACUGGAGGCAACCUGAGUACCAUUCACAGGGGAGUGGCUGAAUGGACUGAAGUGCUCUCCUAGUGAGGAACGGGUUUCCACCAUCAACACGGAGAGCCGAGAAUGUAAACUUGAAGAACCACACACAGAGCGUGUGUGAUACCGUCUGUGUGGUGGUCUGUGGUUUCUAUGACUACAUGGAAAGCUGGGGUGAGUGAAGUGAUUACUUGGCUGGAAUUAGUGAAGGGGGUGCUUUCUAAUAUUGCGGUAGCAUUGAAGUUACUGACUAGGAAGAAAAUACGGUUAUAUGAAAACUGGACCCCAGAAGAAUUGCUUCAUGUCUUGAACUUACAUAGGACAAUCUCUAAAAUGAUACCCAUUUUCUUGAUAUGAGAGCAACACGUUCUAGUUUUAGAAUUUUUUCAGAAAUUGCUCCCCACCCCCACCCCUUUCCUCUUUCCGUCUGUGACUCUUCCCUAUCUGUGUGCUUCACAUCCACGGAGUCAACCAAAUGGGGAUUGGAAAUAUUUGUGGGGAUCAGAGCUAUCGUAAUUGUGCCCAGACUUCUUUCUUGUCUAUGUGGUCUAACGACUAUUACACAUUACUUUCAAUGCCUUAGGAAUUUAUUGUCAUUACUCUGGAGACUUGAGGUCUGAGGGAAGAUGCGUGUAAGUUACUGGCAAAAACUGCACUGUUUUACAGAUGACGCUCGAACUGCUGAUUUUCGGUGUCUUAGCGAGAGCUCAGGACUAGUUCCCCAUAAACACAGAGAGCUGGCUCCAUGUUAAGUUUACUUGUAUCCAUAUAGAUGCGCACGGUAUGAAGAACACAGAUUUAGAAACAUGAGUGGAAACAUUAUGUGUAACUUAAAGGCCACUUUGUGUGAUUUAGAAUAAGCCUGUAAGCCUGCCGCCAGGAAGCUCUGAUAAGAAAUAGAAGCAGGUUCCAAUGUGUCAACGGACCGGCCAUGAGAAGUCACACAGUGGCAAAUUGAUGUUAGUGAACUAGCCCCAUGCUGUGAACCCUGAUAACCCAAAGCCACCACCCAGUGAAAGGAUACUGGAACUUUGGAAAUGGUCUCUAGGAUCUUACUGCUGUACUCAGGAGACAGGGCUUCUAUAGCCCUCUGCGUUGAUGAUACUCCUCAUCCGAGGACCCGAGGUUGGCCUCUGUGUGUGGCCCUGGCUCCAGUGACCCUUGAACUUCUGACACUGUUGCUGAACUCACACAUGUCUGCCCAACUGUUAGCACUAGCCACUGGCCAAGACUUUUUAAAACCUCUACCUGUGCCAUCCUGCCAGCCUCCCACACUGAAGGACGGUGCUGUGGAGGUGGGUUGAGCUGGCAAAGCUGCUGAAGUGUCCUCACCUUAGAAAAAUCCUGGGUCGAAUCCUUCAGCAAUGUCUCCUGCCCAACCGACUGCUCCUUGCCUGGUGAGAUGUCUGUAGCAUAGUAUUAUAAGGGUGCGAAUAAACCAAGCUAAUUUGAAAGACAAACUUUGUGUGGACAUCCUAAUUGCCAAGCACCUCACAACCCUCAGGCUGCAUUCUUGUUUCUAAGCAGGAAGGCUAAUUGGAGGGAGGUUUUGUCUGGAUGCAGACCUGCUGAGACAUUGGUUUAAGAGGAAACUGUGACAUUGGAUAGAACAUAUCACCUUUAAGACUGCUGUUCUCUGAGCUUAGAAUUUGCUUGGUCAAAAUGCUGCUGUGAUAGCAAGAGAAAUUGUUGUUGUUGCUAUUGCUGUUGUUAUAGUUGUUGAGAGGUCUCUUUAGGUAGUCCUGGCUGUCCUGGAGUUUUGAUAUGUAAACCAGGCUGGUCUCUAACUCACAGAGAUCCUCCUGCAUCUAACUCCUGAGUUAUCCUGGGAUUAAAGGCAGGCACCACUAUGCCCCUCCCAUUUGUCUGUUUGUUUGUUUGUCUGUCUGUUUGUCUUUUAAAUAGAGAUCACUUUGAGGAAGAACCAGAGGUCUUUCAAAGAUCUGUGUUCGCCUCAGCUUCCGUGGGUGGAGUAGGGGGGAUGGGGAACUAUGAUUUGCUUGGGAUGCUACUGGUUCAGCUUCUGCCAGGGUUGCGGGUCUGCGAGUGGAGUCUGGCUUUAGAGUAUGCAUGGCCAAAUCACCAGCUGCCUAAAUAAGACCCACUCUGGGGGUGAGGCUGGGGCUGAGGUAGGGGAAGUGGUUGGUAGCUUACUUAGGGUCUAGACAUCCCCAGCAUGCAGACACAGCACUCUGCUUCACACGUGGGCACAGACUGAUCGGUGCACCCGUCUCCACUCUGAUUCUCCUUUUUGAAAGCAGAAGUCUAAAAAGGUGCACUCCUGUCCUCUGAGGUUUGCCUUUGGGUCACUGAAGAUCUGUGGAGUGUACACAGGGUGUGACCCACAAAUCAGGGAGAUGUUUAACCUCGAACCCAAGUUGUAAACAGGGGCUUUUGGGUGUGGUCAUCAGGAUGGUCAGUGGGAGGCCUUUGAGACAGGCUUAAGACAGUUGGGGCAGAGAUGUAAACCAAGAGGAAGCUAUGAGGGGCCGACUCCUAGCUCAAUGUCUACGAUGAACUGGGCCUAUCAAAAUCAGUACAGUGUGAAUCUUGUGUAUGCAUGUCUUUACUCUAGACUAGACUUUUCUCAGUACUACCAACCCCUUCUUACUGAAGAGUAACCUGGUCAAGCAUGUGUUUUUAUAGAAAGCCCAGGCCUUCAGUUGGACUGAGGUGCUUGUAAUGGAACUCUGUUGGCUGACGAAUAUCAGCACUCGUCCAUGAACAACUUGGCAUAGCUAUAAUCAACAACGACAGCAAAGCCCUUAGCAGCUCUGGGGCAGCGCUGAAGGGUCUGACCUGGAACUCUGCUCAAAGGUGAGGACUGAUGACUUGGAAGCCUUCUGCAAGGCCGCCUUAGCUAUGUGAAGGGAAACAACAGUCAUGAUUAACAGGGCUAGCAAUGCUGAUCUAGAACUGUUCUGUCUGUCCCUCCUAACUCAGAAAAAAACAAAAACAAACACACAAACAAACAAAAAAACAAACCACACAUCUGAAGCCAUUGCUUGUUAUUUAUGUUGGGGGGGGGGGGAGACUCUAGAACACAGGGGAGGAAAUGCCCAGAGGGAAAUAACAAAAUUUCAGUCAUAUAAUUAAUGGCUAAGUACUCAAUGCUAAAAAACCUCUCCGUGGUAGAACCUGUUCACACCCAACGUGCUAGCACUCUGCCUGAAGGUAGGAGCAGAGAAGCUUGCCCGCUGAGGGGGAUGUGCAGACUGUGGCUGGGGACAGCUGACUCACCUCUGUGUCCUGAUGGUUGAUCUCACUGAGGCUAGACUGCUGCAGCAGGACGAUGAGAAGCCUGUUGGGGAGAACAGAGUGGGUCGUCAGCCCUGACAGCCACGGGUGCUUAGAAUGGGUAUUAGAGCACAACACCAGGGAUGGAAUUGGAGGCUUCUGAAUAAAAGGAGGCCCUUCCCAUCUAUCCGAGAGAAAGGUGCGUGGGAAGCCAUUAGUGUAGAAGACAGAGGAACGUGUCUGUCUUCAGCUCCUGACUGAAAUCUUAGUGCUCCUGGGGACUUAGAGCUGCUGAGGGGAGGCAAGGCAAGACAGCCUUUACUCUGUCACCCACAGAGUAAGUACUUCAGUAGCCAAAGUCCUGCGCCGCCUGGCUUUUAUUGCCUUUGCAUAAGCACACAGUAUGCUUACAUUUAUACCUUCAUACAUUGCUAAGCGUCAGAGCAGGAGAGAUAACAGGACUCAGGGAGCAGCAGCCAUCACUUGAUUCCCAAGUUCAUUUUCACUGCCCUGAACUUGGCUGUCUGAGGUCAACAUUCCUGCCAUGAGAUACAGGCGGUUGGCAGCACUGGUUGUAGGGCCAGGCUCUGGAGCCAGACUGUCUGUCCUGCCGAACUCUGUGCUCUGAGACAAGCUGCUUACCAUCUUUCUGCCUAAGCUUCCUGUCUUUGGGGACAAUACGUUCUGAUGUCACAGCCCAGUGAGAGGACUGAGACUAAAGCAUGUAGAAUAUGUCUGAAAGACAAACAUGGUAUUUCCAGAAACAUUAAUCCUAGAUUUUUCGAGCCUUGGGCCCCAUCUCUGGACCACCAGGGAGAUUUUUAAAAUCGCAAACAGCUGGACUGUACUCAGUGGGUCUUGGAGAAGCCUCGUCGAUUCAGUUGAAAGGUGCCUUUUUAGGCCAGCCUGGUAAACAGCCCUGUUUGGAAACCAUUGAGAAGGCGCUGGUGAUUGGUCAGUGAACUCCGAUGAUGAGGGCUGAGAACAUGCAGACAAAGAGGUUCAAAUGACUUUUAUAAGACUUAUUUGAAAAAUUAAGCUAUUUAGUUUUAUUCUCCAAUCCACUUUUCUUCUCUCUUGUAUAUACAUAUUUAUGCAUGUGUGAAUAUGUGUGGUGUGUGUAUAUGUGGUGUGUAUGUGAGGUGUGUGCAUGUGUCAUAUGUGUAUAUGUGUAUGUGUGUGUAUAUGUGUAGUAUGUGUAUGUGUGCAGGUAUAUGUGUAGUAUGUGUAUGUGUGCAGGUAUAUGUGUAGUAUGUGUAUGUGUGUGUACAUGUGGUGUGUGUGGUAUGUGUAUGUGUGUGUAUGUGUGUAUAUAUAUAUGUGUGUGUGUGUAUAGUAUGUGUAUGUGUGUGUACAUGUGGUGUGUGUGUGGUAUGUGUAUGUGUGUGUACGUGUGUAUAUAUAUAUGUGUGUGUGUAUAGUAUGUGUAUGUGUGUGUACAUGUGGUGUGUGUAUGUGUAUAUAUAUGUGUGUGUGUGUAGUGUGUGUAUACAUGUGGUAUGUGUAUGUGUGAUAUGUGUAUGUGUAUGUAUAUAUAUGUUAUAUGUGUGUGUGUAGUAUGUGUGUGUACAUGUGUACAUGUGUGAAUGUGUAUGUGUGUAUUGUAUAGGAUGGGUGGAUAUCAGGUGUCUCCCUUAGUUGCUGUACAUCUUUCUCUUUUGACAGGGUCUCUCACUGAGCCUGGAGCUCACUAUUUGUACAGGCUGCCCUUGUCAGUGAACCCUAGAGUUUCUCUUGACCCUGCCUCCUCAUCCCCAACAUUGGGUUGUAGAUUUGAGUUGCCAUGAUUCUUCGCACGUCCUAGGAUCCACACUCGGGUCUCUGUGCUUGAUGGAAGCCACCUUCCCAGUUCUUCCAUCCAGUUUUCCCUCAUCUCAGCUUAGAAGACAUCCCAAACCCUAAGCAUUAAGUUACCACCAACCAGAGGGGAAGGGAUGCUGGACCAAUCGCUCUGUCUUCGUGAUAGGCACAACGCAAGGAGAGUUUGAAUAGGGAUGAGGUAUCCUUAUUUGCUAUAGACGUACAAUGACUUGUGAAGCCUGGGUUUGAAUCUAGUUUUUCCAGUGUCUCUGGGGGAGCUAAGCUGCCACUGGAGCUUAGUUCCCGCCUCAUAGCUGAGUGACCUUCUCAUGCAUCAUAACAUCAGUGGAGCGAAGGGUCCCACGUCUGUAGCAGGCUGAGAAUUCCUUGCACAGAGAAUGGUAGGAAUGAACUAAGACUGUGAGCAGAGUGUCUCUUUUACGAUUUCUGAAUUCCAGACUCAUUCCUUUAGCUGAUAGGAAGUCAUUAUAAAAAUAAUUGAACUGGGGCGACACUUUCCAUUUCUGUAAUUAUCUCGCCUCUAAGUGUAUUUUCCAUUCUGGUUGCUUUAUGGGUGGGAGUGACACUGAACUGGUGACUGUUUCCUCUGUGUGUCUCUCGCUAGUGGCCACUUUUAAUCUCUAGGGUCCCUUUGGUUUGCAGUGGUGCAGAAGUGGGAGGGGAAUCGAGAGAUGAGCUUAGGCAGUGGUUCUCAACCUUCUCUAUGCUGCAACCCUUUAACACAGUUCCUCACGUUGUGGUGACCCCAGUCAUAAAAUUAUUUUUGUUGCUACUUCCUAACUGUAAAUUUGCUACUCUUAUGAACCGUAAUGUAAAUAUCCAAUAUGUGGCCCCAAAGGGGUCACGGUCCACAGGCUGAGAAUUGCUGAGCUAGGCCAGUGUUACUCUCUCAGCCUGCCCCAAGUUGAAUGACUACUGUACUCAGACAGGUUUUCCUUUGUGGAUCCAGUGGAGAGAAAUGGCUCCCAGGAAAGUGAGGCUCAGGGAAGAUUGGAAUAGGGGUAAACAGAGCAAGACGGGUGAGCCCCGAGGCAGUGGGAUGAAUCCCUUUCACCAUGGGCUUCUCACACUCCUGUCUGUGAUCCCUGACUCUGGAGUUGGCCUUCGAGGAUGACACUAACCAAGUCUCCACACCUAUGAUUUGGCUGUUUAGUUAAUGGGAGCCCCUCAAGAGGAAGGACAAAUCAGAUUAGCUUCUGGUGGUAGUUCCUUGCCCCCUUUAGAUUAAGGGGUGGUCAAAGUUUUCCGUUCUUUUGGAGAAUGUAAGUUUUUUGUUUUUAUUUUGUUUUUGUUUUACUAGCUUGCCAUGCACCCCCAGCCGGCUUUGAACUCCUAAAGCUGUGGUUCUUCUCCCUCAUCUAAGGAUAACAGACAUGUGCCUCUGUGCUAGGUGAAACGAGAACACCACCAUCUCUUGCUAGUUUCACUGGACUUUCCUUGGUCGCUGCCUUUGUGAACCCCCUGACCUCUCUGCCUGAUGGGCCAACCUGUGUUCUUUAACGAUUUAGUUUCAAAGUCUUCAAGACUCAUUGGUCUUCAAAGCUGGACACAGAUGUCCAGAUGAAGAGCUCUCUCUCUCUCUCUCUCUCUCUCUCUCUCUCUCUGCCAAUGAUUUCCUGCUCUCUUUAGAUUAAGGGGUGGUAUAUUUAUUUUCCUGCUCUUUUGGAGAAUGUAAGUGUUUUGUUUGUUUGGUUUGGUUUUUGUUGUUUGUUUGUUUGUUUUUGGUUUUUGUUGUUCUUGUUUGUUUUUUGGUACCUUGCCAUGCACCUCUGGAUGGUUUUGAACUCGUAGGUAGUAGAGGUCAGCAUCUCUCUCCUCCCUGAAACUCAUCACACUGCUGGCUAAAGUCGCCACAUAGCAUUCCUGUGAAUCAGCCCGAACUGGAAACUAGAUAUUCUCUGUGGAGCCUGGUGACCCCUUGCUCUUCUGUGGUGUGGACUUAAUCUGCUUGGUCUCCAUCUGCCUCAGCGCUGGAACACUUGCUGGCCUCCAUCUUGUUCUCCUAGUGCUCCAGCCAUGGUGGCCAGAAACAUUUCCUCCUCCAUCCCCAUUGGAACCUGUUCAAACUGCCCUAGCAGCUCCAGGCCACUACAUACCAGGUACCAGGACAGCAAACAAGGAUCCCCAGCAGGUGCCUUUCCUCACCCAGGGCCAUGACUGAACAAGGAGAGCACAGAGGACUGAGGUUAGAAUCCAUGCUUCCUACCCAGGGGCCGUGGACAAGUUAGAACAUUCUCCAGGGGCCGUGGACAAGUCAGAACAUUCUCCAGGGGCCGUGGACAAGUUAAAACAUUCUCCAGGGGCCGUGGACAAGUUAGAACAUUCUCCAGGGGCCGUGGACAAGUCAGAACAUUCUCAGGUCUCGUUUGUACACUGCAGUUUGCCUAAGAAGCCCACAGAGAGGCUCAGGUUCUCUGGUUUGCAUCUCCAUGUGUACAAUGAAGAGCACACCUUCCAAUUCCUCAAGAUUUGCUAGAAUUUUAAGUGAGCCAAUGCUUAUGAAGCACCGAGCAUAGCUCUCAUGUGCAUACACCUAACUUUUCUAUAUUGGUUCAUUAAAAAAAACCAAAACACUUGCUGGGUCUUGUCUUUUCUGGGUCCUCUCUGAUCACCGUUAGGUGAUUCGGGUGGCAGCAGGAAUCAGCGGAAGGCAUCGUAGGAGUGGCUUACCUCCGCAAUCUUUCCUGUUUUGUUUGACCCUGCAGGUUCCCAGCCCUGCAGCUCAGUGAUGGCAAUGAGUGGAGACAGUCCCCCAAGCCAGGUAUCUCUCCUUCCUGUCCCUAAUGCCAGCUGGAUGCAAGGGUGUGCUGUGGAAUAUCGUGAUCGGCUUACAGCAUUAGUAACUUACAGGAUCCCAAGGUAGGGAGCCAGGAAACCCUUUGGCUGAAGUCAGGAGAACCAAAAGGAUGCAGAAAUGUGGGGCGGGGUGGUGGUGGGGGAGGAAUGAAAAAGAAAGGAAAGAAAAAAAAAAUCUGCCUGUUACCAUGGAGACCGUGAAGAAGUCCCUCAGAACCUGGUGGCUUCUUCCAGAGGAAACUGCUUCUCGCCUUUCAGGGCUAGCGCCUACAGGGCUCUACAAGCACAACUCUGUCUCUUUGGGACUUUGUCCUAAGGAUUCUGUCCCCUCUUUUACCCAGCCAAGGGUAUAGGAAAAGCUCAAGGGCACUGAAAUGGAGAAAACUUGGACCGGUUGAGAAGCAAGAGAGCUCAGAGGAGGGGCUCCGGUCCUUUGCAUUCACCAGGCUAAUGUAUAAAUCACUUAUCCCAGUGUCUGCUCCAAUCCUCACUGCCCUGGGGCUUAGCCGAGGACGUGAAUCCAAACCAAUCAGAGAACUCAAAUCUCUCCGCAGGCUGAGGGCAGAAUACAAUUGUCCCUCUGGAUUGUUUAAAAGCAGCUUCAGUCUGAGGUUUUCCCUGCUAAUAGCCUUCAGUGAGUGUCACAUGGGAGGAGCUUGCUGUUCGGAAACUUAAGGGUCAGCAGAUUUUUAAGCCAGUGUAAACAGCUUUUCACAAGGUCUCUGGGUGGGUGGCUGUUCGUACUGCUUACUAAUAUGAAGAAAAUACAGAUGGACCUGCACUCACAAGUUGUAAAGGGAGUUUCCGGUGGAACUGAAUAGCCUGAGUUCAAUUAUACAGUCCCAACGCAAUCUGUUUCCUUGAGUCUACACAAAGGGGAGUGAAUGUUCCUAUCCCAGCAUCCUCUGCAGCAAACACCCGUUCGCUUGCAUGCUGCUACAGAGCUCUGUGUACAAAUAACUGUAUGUUUGUACACACCCUUUGCCGACCUGUGUGUGCCAAGGUGGGAACUGUAGGGUGGCAAUAAGGGGAUCCUAAUCUACCUACCUAAUGCUAGCAUGUGGUACUCAUGUCUGCCUGCUAUCAUGCCUAUCUGCGAUCUGCUAUUCAUGCUUGUCAUGCCACACUCGGCAUUAAUGCUUUCUGAACACAGUGUAGUAGGUACAAUGGUCAGUACCAAUGGUUCAUAUAGUUUCCUCUAGCCUCCCUUCUUAUAAGAAAAGAAAUGCAUUCCCCUUACUUUCUGGGAAAGAAACUUAUCUGCCUUGACAUAUUAACUUGUCUAAGACAGAAGGGUUGGCCAGAUGAGGCCAGAUUCAAGUUUAACCUGACUCCUAGCCACUCGUGACCUCAACCCAACAAGGAUCUUAGGUGACUUUUGGUUACAUAAAAAAAAACAAGGUGAGUGAAGAAAUUAGCCAGAGAAACAGGGGCAGAAGAUGGGAAGAAAAGAUCUACAGACCCGUGUGUGUCAUAGGCAGGUUUCAAACAGAGGUUUGAACUUUCCAAUCACAAAAAGCAAGGCACGGGAUCACAAAUCACAGAGUUCCUAUAAUACAAAUUCCAACUGUUUUCUCUGGAGCGGGGCCAUCCCUCCCUUAGUAAAACCUUUUUUCUGUGGUUUCUUAUAUAGGAUUUUUGAAGAUGUUGUAAUGAAUAAAAUAUGAUCUGAUUGUGAGCCAGUAAAUUUUGUAAGGCUGUUUCUCAUAAGGCCUGGCAGCACAGGCCAAGGGUUUGCUGAUAAAAUAUGAUCACUACAAUGAACUCUGCAAGGCCCACAAUGGUGGCUCUCAGGAAGACAGCAGACCCCUCAGGCAUGUUUUCCUCAUGCAUGUCAGUUAGUUACCUUCCAGUCGUCACAGUUCCUCAUCUGUGAAGUGAGGAUAUAUGUAUGGCGCUAUAUAAAUGAGUCAUAACUGAGAAAGCUCUAAGAACGUUGCUCAGAGCAAGUUUAUAAUAAUAUAUCCUCAUCGACAGGAUGUUCAUCUUCAUCACUACUGUUGUUUGCUGUUAGUUUAAUUCAGACCUAAGCAUUUGCUAAGCCAGUCUAAGGUUAUACCUAUGCGUAGGCUGCUGGGUAGAGAGGUUUCCCUCAAGUCAGACAACCUAAGUUUGAUCCUUGGAACUCACAUGGAUGAAGGUGAGAGCUUCUGAGGGUUACCAUCUGACUCCCCAUGUGAGCCACUGUGCACACACAUGCACACACACACACACACACACACACACACACACACAAUAAAUAAAUGGAUGCUUUUUUAAAGGUCGAGUUCAUUUAAGAAACUAGACUCACAUGCAUUAAUGGAAGAGACUUGGCUUUUCCAGUGCAGUCACAAUGUUGGAAGAUGUCUACAAAGCCAGACAGGUCUGUCUUCUCAGAAUGCAAUGCUAAGUGUAUGCGGAUACUCAAGCAGGUGGCUGCAUCCCAACUCUUGCUUAGUUUCUGCUUCAAACACCCGAGGCAAAUGUAGCCCUGCCAUAGCAUUUCUCAGUAAAACAACCGCUAAGUAUCUCAUUUUAAUCAAUUCACGUUCAGGAGGAAGCCUUUAGGAUAAAGCUGCUUCUAGUCUGUCUGCAGGUAAUUCGGCUACUUUAUUUGCUGUCUAUGGGUUGGUAAGGGUUGGACCCAACCCACUUUGAAGAAGACUCACUAACACAAAAUAUUGCUUUUGAAAUACUUGAUCAGGCUUUGGAUUUCAUUAGUUGGGGAGCAUUGUAAAGCGGGAUUUUACCAUUCAGAAUCAACUACCUAAUAUAAAAAACAAAACAAAACAGAACACUUGAAGCUUUAGCACACAGAAGGAGGUUUACCUUUUUGGAUUAAUCUCAUCAGAGGAUUUUGGCUGGGUCAUUAGGUAUAAUAUCCAGAGAAGGAGGAUCCUCAAUUCUUUGCUUUCAAAGUUCUACCUGUGUGGGAUAGAUCCUAGAGUGUUUAGAGACAUUGCUAUAACAAAGUCCACGGAGCUGGGAGGGUGGCAGUGGUGCACAGCCUUCAUUCUAGCACUGGGAGCAGGUGUGUGUGCGUGUGUGUGUGCGUGUGUGUGUGUGUGUGUGUGUGUGUGUGUGUGGUAGUCAGGUGUGUCUUUGAGUUCGAGGCCAGCCUGGUCUAUAGAGUGAGUUCUAGGACAGCCAGAGCUACACAGAGAAAACCUGUCUUCAAAACAAUAAAGAAGUCCAUGGAAGAGGAUAUACACUUGAAAGCGUUUUCGACUAAUGAUUUCAGAGGUUGCAUCUCGCUGUCUCACCCAAUCUUGAAUGUCAUUUUGAUUGAGAAGACUUAUACUUCAGGUAUAGAUGGUACACGGAAUUUUUCAUCUAAAUCCGAGUUCCCAAUUCAUGGAUGGGAAUCAGCAGAGGCAGAGAGAUUGCCCUCCCAGGACUGUGUUUCCUGAGGUCCAUUCUAUGUAAGUGUGUGCAAAUGACUAGUCCUUUUUAAUGGAAGAGCAAGUGUGGUUGGUGACAUUUGCCUGAGGUUUUGCAAGAAUGAACAAGGCAUCUCUUUGCUCCUCUUUGCCCACCACCAGGCCAAGCGAGGGACAUUCUGUGAUCUUUCAGGAGGCCAACGUUACAGGAGGAGAGGUGUUAAGGUCCCUGAAUCACCAUGUGGAGGAGAGUCAGCCACCACCUAGCAACGCUGACCUUUGGACUGUGAAGUAAAACAUGAGUGUGAAGCACUCAAACUUUGGGUUUUAUUUGCUGAAAUAACUAUAAUUAUCACAACUUAAGUGGGUAUUUAUCUUUCAGAAUACGUAGCUUUUAAAAUUACUCAAGAGAAGCAGAUAAAGUCACUUAAGUUCAGUAAUCCAGGAGAAUAAUUCUUGCAGGGAACGGUUUCCAAUGUAUUUUCUCAAGAUCACUCCUGCAGAAACAGUAUACUCUUGUGACUAAACAUUUGCACAAGCUGUCUAAAAUAAAGUCUUUCCCUCCCUUACUUUCCUUUCCCCCUCCCUCCCCUUCCUCUUCCCCUCCUUUUCCUUUUUGAAAACAGACCAUCUGCUUAACUAUGAUGUUUACUGAUAGUUAAUGGUUUGGGCUUGCUCAAGGCUUUGAGUAAGUUCUGUUAUUUCUGGAUAUGGUCCAAGCUAACAAGCAGCAAGCCUCAGGGGUAGACCUGGAAUUUCCCAAGCCUUUUACUUUCUAUAAAAAUGACUGAAGAAAUCCUGUUAUUCCCGGGCUACAUACCCCCACAUCCUGCCUAGAGGAUGGUUUAACCCCUUAGCUCCCCAGAGCUUCAGGUCUUCAUUCUGGCCCUGGGUGCUGAGGAUGAGGCAGACAACGUAUCCCCCCAAGACCCCCUCACACCCACCCCACCCCCACCCCACCCCCGUGCUACUGGUCAGGGCCUGGGACUGGGAGAUAUAUAUAUGAAUGAAAGGUGUGCUGUAUGCAACAGAGCAUGAAGGAAGAGCCAAGCUGCAACAUUGCUAUUUGUAGUAGGAAAUGUCACAAGCGGCUGCAGGUAGGAGCUUUCAAAACGAUGGAGACAGAGGCCCAUUUGACCAGUGAGGGAAAGAGGAACUCAGUUGGACUGGGAGAAAUUUUCCCCUUGUUUUCUCAAUUAUCUUACCAAAUUGUGACCUCCUCGAGCAUUGACUUUCCUUAAGUAAAUCUCUUCCCAUGGGCUCCAUGCAUGUACCCUCCUGGUUUUGCCUCUAACGCCUCGGACUUCCGCCUCAGGCUCCUGGGCUUCUUCAACUCUUAGACUCUGGCUGUACACUCCAUUUGGACAUUAGCCCUUACUGACAUGUCGUGGCAGUUGUAGCUUGUUUGAUUUUCUACAAAACACUUGUCACUGUUGGAAAGUAUCUUGUUCCUUUGUUUACUAGUGAGCUACAAAAGGGGUUUCACUGAGGUAGGAGGGAAAUAAGGUUGGAGUUUAAGGCUACGCUAGAACAUUUAGUGUGGUCCUAUCUGUAAAAAAAUGGGUGUCACCUUUAUCAGCCACAGAGGGGUGUAUUCCAUGCCCUUCUCCCGCAAGGUCUUCUCCAUCUGGCAUGCUAUGAACUGCUUACCUCACAUCAGGUUCAGCAGUGGCAGCGUGCAGUGGCAGGCGGCCAUUUUUAUCUGGGAUGUUGUGCUUGGCACCAUUUCUGAGCAGACUCACACAGCCUUCAAGCCAGCCCUGAAAGGCAGUAGCAAUGGCGUCAUGAUAUAACUCAGCCGUACCUGACACAGGUCAACAUGCUUCCUAUAGGUCUUUUUCGUUUUGUUUCAUUUUGAUUUGGUUGGGGUUUUUUUGUCUUUUUUUUUUUUUUUUGUCACUUCUUUGAUUGAAACCAUUAAGGACUACAGUUCCAACUCAGGUGCCUUAGCAGAGCAGGUCUGAGCUUCGUGUUCCCAGGUUUUCUGUAUGAUCAUUGCCCUUUCAUAUGCAGAUGAUGCAAGCACUGUUCUCCUGCUCUCCCUUCAUACCCUGGACCACUCACUGGGAUUCAACUGCCUCCUGGGUCCCUCUCCAGUUCCCACCCACCAAAGAUAGCAUCUGACAGGCAGUGGUCACCUACCCUGGACUCUCAGCCUGAGGCUUAAGCUCCAACUCACACAUAUCAACAACCUGAUUUGGAUAAAAACACACCUACUUCAGAAACUAGACUUCAAUGCCUCUUCUGUGUCCUAGUCUGCGUGCCCCAGAAACACUGCCAUGUGUAGGCCUCCAUUCUUUAUUAUUUUAUGUUCCUUUUCUAAUAAGGAGAGCACAUUGCUUACUUGAGUCAGCCUCGUUGUAUUUAGAUGUGUAACCCGUGCACCCCGCCAGUAGCUGAGACUCUAAUGGUAACAUUCCGAGUUUCUAACAGGAAGGCAUGACUAGUGUUCUCCAAGGGAUGGAAACACAUUGUAAGGUUUUAUGGGCCUAUGUAUUUCUCGAGAGGCUGUGUGAAUUCCUUGCAUCCUAAUUGUAUUAACUGAAACUUAUAUUAUCACCUUGUUGGCUAGCAUUUCUGACUGGGUCAUUUUUCCUGCUAUCUUAUGAUAAAGGACAGGAGUAACCUGAGGCUAGCCCUGCCAAGAUUUAUACUGCUUUUGUUAUACUCAGUUUAUACUUUUUAACUGAGGCAACAUUGCUGAUAACCAAGAUUGGGUCUCAUUCCUAAACAGAAGGUCUCCUACACUUAUCUACAACCCUUGGGUUUCUUGCCUACUUAUAAACAGACAAUUAAAUAGCUGAGCUUCUCAUUGAGAGGAGUGAUGUUAUAACCUCUGAUUCAAAAGCUUCUCUUUUCCCCUAUUUGUAUGAACUCAAGCCUCGAGAUGUCCCAGUAGGACGAGAUGACUGAGGAUCCUCUUUGUUAGUAUAACAAUAUUGGAAGCACCCAAUCCCCAAGGGUUAAUAAUCUCAUGCAAGUUAAGAAAGUAAGAGUAGAGAGAGAACCUUGUGGUUUUGAAGAGUCUAGACAACAUCUGUCAAGCAAGAGCACAUUGCUACAUAGUGACUUGGAGGCUAGCCUAGACUACGUGAGACCCUGUUCCAAAAAUCAAAAGUAAAUAAAUGUCAUGAGCUCUAAUACCAAGUAAAGCUCUAUAGGAUUGACCAGCAAUAUCCGUCUUAAAUAGAAGAUAAUAUUUGGAUAAUACUUGUCAGUAUUGACUCACAGUUUACUAAUGUACUAAAUUGCCCAAGCAGUGGACUCACGCAGUUUUUGAAAAAGCAGAUCUUUUGGUGGAGUAAGCUUUGAAAUAUCUAAAAUAUUUUGCAAUGUUUCCUGGAACUCAAUGUGUGUGAGUGUGUGGUUUUCUUCAUUCUUCUUUUUUUUUUCCUUCAGAAAGGAAAUUUAAAAAUCAGUGAAGACAUUGAAACACUUGAUACCAUUCUGAAGCAACAGACGAGUGUCCCACCCGCUCCCCACUGCGUGCCUCCCCACUGCUGCCUCCUUCUUUCCCUUCAGGUGUGAUACGCUUCAACUAUUGGGUUUCUACACCUCAGAAAGAUGGAUCGAGGCCCAAGAAGGUGGAGUGAUCUGCCCAAGGCCCCAUGUCUACAAAUGUAUUUGUGUCCCGAGUUGAGACUCAGUUUCUAAGUGUCUCUCCUGCCGAGUUUCUCUUGAUGGUCAGACUUAGUCAUUGCUGGAUUUCACAGUCCUGCUCAGAAUGUCCCUCUUCCCAGUGAGCCUUGGGGGGCUCACACAGAGGCCAGGCACAGUGAAGCAAGCAUCCCACCCUGUGUAUUGUUACCAUUUCCCUCACGCGGGUCUUAAGAAUGGCAAGAACUUGUGAAGAUGCCACCUUUCUACAUUCCAAGUUGCCCCUGGCAACUGAUGUUUACUGGGGGCACUUCUCUCCAGUCUUUUCAAAUUUUGAAUCUUAGAGUUUAGAGUCAUUUAAAGACAUAUAAUUUGUUUACACCAUAUUAUAGAGUCCGACAGAUGCCAAUUUUAGAAGCCAUCCCACCUCUUUCCUCUGACCAUUAAUUCAAACUUUUGCCUGUUUUUCUGCUUUGUCUUGUUUUUCUCAGACACAAAAGGUUGGUAUCAAGAGCCGUGAUGAAGGCAUGUAUUACAAGGGAGGUGACUGAGAGGGUGAUCGCACAUUUGUGUGACAUACAGAGACUCACUCAGGUAACACACACAGAGCAAUGGUCUUUCCACUCAAGUAGACACUGACUUUGCCAGGAAGGUUAGUUUAACCCACAGGCUCUCAUCCUCCUCUGUCCCCAUGCUAUCCAAGGAGUUUCUAACUAAGGAAGUACCUCAGCCUUUCAAACAAGACCUCGAAGAGAUAUUGAUCCAAGAGGCCUAUGGACCACACUUCAAAAAAAAAAAAAUUGCCUCUGGGUCCUAGAGACAGAGCCUGCAAAGAAAAAAAAAUUUUAAAGUGGCUUCUGAAGAAAAUUUCUAUGGGAAUUGAGCAACGCGUCAUUGCAAACUGAAUUGUGUGGCAGGAAGGGGUGGCGAGUUUGGGGAAGGGAAGUAUUUUAUUUCAGUGGGGCUGAAGGGGUGAAUCAAUCCUUUGGGGGAGGGGGCUGGCUGGGAGAAAUCCUUGGCUAUCAACUGGCAGUAACACUGAACCCAAGAGGCCACAGAUGUGAGAGCAUGGUGGCAGGGUCUCUGGAAAAAGGAAAGCAAUAAACUGUCCCCCACAUGGGGGACAAGGCUGGGCUUGUUUCACAUGGAUUUUAGCCAGCCUGGGGAGCUUCCACAAGGACCACAGAGAGCAUCUGAGAGGAGAGUGCUAGAGGAUUUUCAGUGAGUCUUAACCACACUUUGCUUUAAAGUUGAGCAAUGCGGACCUGAAAUUGCUAGGAGGAGGGAUGACAUUACAGUCUCUAAUGUGGGCACUAGCUAUGAACGGAGCGAGUUCUUCUCUUGGCCUUGCCCCUGUGAUCCUGGUGCGUCUCCGGUGGCUACAUCCACGAUGCCCUUGUCUCCUCACCCUUCCCAAUUCUCAUCACUUCUCACAUUCUGCAGCCUGCUGUUUCCACUCGGUUAAUUUCCACCUAAUCCCACCCGGCAGAUGUUAACUGAAUCUUCGAAUUGUUACUACCCUCUGGGGGUAGGGCCAGAAAUGUCCCAAGGGAAAUUCUGAUGUUGAGAUAGAAAAUAACAUUUCUGGGGGUCACAUCACCUCUAUGCGAACUUGUGAGUUACAGAGUGAGUUCCAGGACAGUCAGGGCUGCACAAAGAAACCUUGUCUUGAAAAAACAUAAACGAGCAUUUUAAAAAGUGGUUCUUACAAUCCGUACAAGACCUAAGGAUAAUGAAUAAAGCCUAAAGCCCUAUACUUGCUGACCUAUUCUAUCAGCCCACGGGCACCAUUCUGUGUGUAGAAUUCACCGAACGUCUUUAGGUCCUUUGCCCUGUAGCCCCAUUAAGAAACAUAGAUUCAUACCAGGUAGGUUGCCAGGCAUAAACUGGUGCGACCGUAUGCAUCCUGUGUAUUAAUGUUGGCGCCCAUCUUUAGCAGCAGCUUCACUGUGUCCACUUGACGUCCCGAAACUGCAUGCAUCAAGGGCGUACAUCCUAGAAUGAGACAUUUCAACAGAUUUAUAAAUGUUUAGCUCUCUGGAUUUAUGAGCAAACUGUUUGUCCGGUCAUUUAUUCAGAUUUCCUGUAGCACAAAUCCAGCCGCUGGAUUUUGUGGGACUGCAGAGAGCCAAAGACGAUAGUUUCUGUUUACGUAAGCCACGUCUUUCUGCUCCCUCCCCUCAGGUGUCUGUGAGUCUCCCCUCUCCCAUGCUCAGUUCUCUGUAGUAGUGGGUGGAUCAAAGCACUUUGGGCAGAUGACCAAAACUGGCUAUCGUUGUCUCAGGGAUGUGAAUAACUCCAGCUCUACCAGGUAAGCUUACCAGGACUGACUAAGCGGAAGAAGGUGCACUACCCAAGUAACCAGGUUCAGGAUAGUUUUGGAGGUAUCGGGCUGUAAAGCUGGGUGGGCGGUAGCCUAACGUUGGGCUACACAAAUUCUCAGUAGGAUCUCCCUCACUGAACUCCUUCUGAAUCAACUCCACCAAAGGCGUUUUGUUUUUCGGUGUGUUUUCUUGCUGAAUAGAAAUAGAGAUGAGAGGACACAUUUUGUUUAACUUUGAGGGGCUGUUGGAACAUUCGGACUAAGGAGCCAAGCUCGGAUCCGACCCCUUGCUGAACUGACAUGUGCUUAUAUUCUGUGGAGCUGGAGACCCAUGUUGGCCUUGUGGUUCUCCUCUGGAUGAACCCAACUAUGGUCCACAGGGAUCCCCGAGAAUAGAUCUCUGGACUGUCAUUCUCCCAGAACAUGGCAGUUGGCGAGCCAGCAUCCCUCCUUUUUAAUAUUGAAGCAGCAAGGAAGUGAUUCUUAGAACAGUAGGUUCGUCCUUCCCCUCCCUUCUUUCUCCUUUUCUUCUUAUCUUCCUCAUCUCUUCCUUCUUCCAACCUUCCCUACUUCCUUUCUUUCUCCCUUCUCUUUCUCCCUAUCUCCCUUCCUAUCAAGUAGUUAUAAGCCUUGUGGUGGUGCAUGCACUCUGGAGGAAAACAGAGGCAGGCAGAUCCCUAAGUUCAAGGCCAGGCUGGUCAACAGAGUGAGUUCCAAGAUAGGCAGAGCUACACAGAGAAACCUUGUCUUGGGAAAAAAAAUAUUAAAAGUUAAAAAAAAAUGAAGAGAUAGGUACAACCAUUGCAGGGGGAGGACAUAAUAAAUAAGAAAAUGAAACAAUUUGUAAAUCUGAGAUAUUCAGUAAAUUAAACAAAUUAAUUUUACAUAAUAUUUUAAUAAAAUUACAUGCUCUCUCUGACUAGUUUAAAUCAAUCUUGAGACUGCUUUCUAUACAAAUGUCUUCAGAGAACAAAGAACAGAAAAUUACCUUAUUAACAGACCAUAUUUACUAUAAAGUUAUGACAACUAAAAUAAGAAAUAGCUCAACGGUUUAGAAAGGAGAGUUUGGGAAACACUCAGACGUGCAUGGAGCUCGCUGUAUAACUCAGGUGACAUUGUACAUUGGUGGGGAGGGCUAAGGUAUUUAGUAAGUAUAUACUGACCAGCUGACGAUACACAGGGUCAGGCUUCCACAUUUUCUUUCAGACUGUUACAUUUUGCCUGUACAUUUUGUCUGUAACCCACCUGGAUUCGGUUUAUGCCCUCAUCUUGUACCUGCGAUCUCUGAAUUCACACCUUAGGACUGUAGUGCAAUUAAGUUGUGUGAAAAGCAGAUAUUUCUGCUGUUCUCUUGAAUAUGAGCAUUUCCUUUUCUCGCCUUCUGUUCUAGCCUUUUGGGUUUAUAGUGCAUUGAAGUUAGGUGUUGAGAGUGGGCAUUCCUCGUCUGUUCCUGAUCUCAGAGUCAAAACAUCCAUCUUUAACAAUUGAGUUAUAAUGUAGAUAAUUUAGAAAAGAAAAUUACAUGGCACAGACUUGAACUCAUGACUCUUGUGCUUCAGCCUCCCAAGUGGAUGGGACUAUAGGCUCAUACCACCGUGCCUGGCUUUGUUCUCUGUCGUGUUGAGAAAGCUCCUUUCCAUUUCUGUUUUCUGAGAUUGAAAAUUACGGAUGAGUAUUGACUUCUAUGAAAUGCUUCUGUGCCAACUGAUAUGAGUAUUCUUCUUUAGGGAGUUUAUAAUUUUAUCAAGUAUUGAUAUUAACGUAGGUUUAGUUCAUAAAUAUAGCUAAGAAGUAUUUUCUUCUUUUCUCUUUUUGAAAGAAAUCAUAUAAAAUUAAUGCUGAUUAUUCUUUAAAGUUUUUGUGAAUAGGUUAGAGAGAUGGCUCAGUGAUUAAGAACAUUUGUUGCUCUUCCAAAGGUUUGGUUUCCAGAACCAAGAUUGGUGGCUCACAACCAUCCGAACCUCUAGUUCCAGAAGAUCUGAUACCCUUUUCUGACAUUGGCCACCAAGAAGGCACAUGGUGUACAGACAACACUCGAACACAUAAAAUAAUUCUAAACAAUAAGCAAAGAGAAGCCCAGCCCAGGGGCAGCAGACAAGAGGGAGAAUUACGCUGUCAAGAAUUCCAGCUGUCUCACCACUAGUGAGUGCUGCAUGUCCAGAAAGGGCUGGCGGGAUGGACUGCUGGACAUAGAAGUCCUGCAACCUUGGGUGGACCAAACAUGGAGUCUGUCUCAGAGACGUUGACAAGACUUGCAUGAGAUGAUUGAAAUGGAGAGUUUGUCACCAUGCCUGCUACUCGAACUGAGAUGAUCACCAUAAAGGAUUUGAACAAUACUGUGAUAAUGAGAGACACACUCACCACGUGAGAACAACGGGGACUCUCCCUUGAGCUGAGGAAGACUCAGAGGAACUACGAAAGUGCAACUCCAUUUUUAACAAAUGAAGAAGACUCUAAUUUCAAAACUCUCCACGUCAUAAGAGACCAAAAGAGUCUACAGAUAUGAACUAAAUUAUAUUUAAAAAAAUGACAUGAGAAUUAAACAUCUAAAAAUCUAA